UACGGAAGGCAGCAGUGGGGAAUAUUGCACAAUGGGCGCAAGCCUGAUGCAGCCAUGCCGCGUGUAUGAAGAAGGCCUUCGGGUUGUAAAGUACUUUCAGUCGUGAGGAAGGUGUUAAGGUUAAUAACCUUAGCAAUUGACGUUAGCGACAGAAGAAGCACCGGCUAACUCCGUGCCAGCAGCCGCGGUAAUACGGAGGGUGCGAGCGUUAAUCGGAAUUACUGGGCGUAAAGGGCACGCAGGCGGUUAAUUAAGUUGGAUGUGAAAUCCCUGGGCUUAACCUGGGAAUGGCAUUCAAGACUGGUUAGCUAGAGUCUUGUAGAGGGGGUAGAAUUCCAUGUGUAGCGGUGAAAUGCGUAGAGAUGUGGAGGAAUACCGGUGGCGAAGGCGGCCCCUGGGACAAAGACUGACGCUCAUGUGCGAAAGCGUGGGGAGCAAACAGGAUUAGAUACC
rnacentral:rRNA from 1 species